UAAAUCGAAAUCAUCAAGAUCCACCUGC
rnacentral:sRNA from 1 species